CAAUCUGUUUAGAUUGCUAUAUGUCUAAAACUAAUUUCACACCUGUUUACUCUGGUAAUACAGUCAUCUUUUGUGUGUGAGCACAAACAAUGCAUCAUUGUGCAAGCAGACAAUACUGUUUGCAGAGGUGUACAACAGCUUGUGUGGACAUUAGUGGCAACUUGACUGAUGUUUCUAGUUCCCAGGCCUGAGCUGCCAUGUUGCUGUCUGAACACUUGGUUAAGAACUAAGCCUCCUCUGCUCACACCCUGUGCUCAGGAAGCAAACAUGGCCAUCUGUUUCUGUUUGCAAUCAGUCCAAGGUGGGCAGCAUAAAGGGUUUAAGCAAGCCUCCCUGAUGAAAUGCAAAAGUUCACAUCAAUAUUGAAGGCCAAUUUUUUUUUAAUUUUCCGGUUGAAAGAGCUACUAGGAGCAGGUUCUUUCAUAAAAUGAAACUGAAAAAAGGCAGCAUGGUCUUGCACAAAGCCCUAAGCAGCAAUGGCUUAGGUUAGGUUCCUGUGUCAACAUCAGUCAAAUCCCUUUCAGCUGACAAAAUAUCGACACCACGGCAGGCUGGCCGCGAUCUGUCACUGCGCUUCAUCAAAGCAACAAACUAGCAGCCAUUAACGCCGCCUUCUGCGCCCUGGCGUCGUUCAUCUACAGAAAGGGGUCAAAGGGCGAGGACAAGGGUCAGCGAUGUCCAAACAGUAAACGGGUGGCCUCGCGUCCCAUGGGUCAAACGCGCAGAAAAGGGCGCAACUCGUCUCAAGCACAGCGCUGCAGGGUUACUUAUGUACUGUCCACGGUGAAGUGUAGAGAUUUAUCUAUGUGCGCUAGACCGUA